ensembl:snRNA U6 U6 spliceosomal RNA
GUGCUUGCUUCAGCAGAAUGUAUACUGAAAUUGGAAUGAUACAGAGAGCAUGAGCAUAGCCUCUGAGCAAGGGUGACAUGCAAAUCAUGAAGUGUAUCAUAUAUUU